UGAGAUGUAGCCAAGUGGUAAGGCAACGGUUUUUGGGUCCGUGAUGCAUAGGUUCGAAUCCUAUCAUCUCAG
rnacentral:tRNA from 2 species